GCAGUUAGCUCAGUUGGUUAGAGCGUGGUAUGUUUGAACACAGAGGUUUAUAAUUGCAAAUAAAUCUGACUUAAAUAGGUGCUAAUAAGACGUCCGAGUCACGUGAACGCCAAGGUCGCGGGGUCGAUUGCCGUACUGACCA